GACGAACGCUGGCGGCGUGCUUAACACAUGCAAGUCGAACGGAAAGGCCCUGCUUUUGUGGGGUGCUCGAGUGGCGAACGGGUGAGUAACACGUGAGUAACCUGCCCUUGACUUUGGGAUAACUUCAGGAAACUGGGGCUAAUACCGGAUAUGAGCUCCUGCUGCAUGGUGGGGGUUGGAAAGUUUCGGCGGUUGGGGAUGGACUCGCGGCUUAUCAGCUUGUUUGUGGGGUAGUGGCUUACCAAGGCUUUGACGGGUAGCCGGCCUGAGAGGGUGACCGGCCACAUUGGGACUGAGAUACGGACCAGACUCCUACGGGAGGCAGCAGUGGGGAAUAUUGCACAAUGGGCGGAAGCCUGAUGCAGCAACGCCGCAUGCGGGAUGACGGCCUUCGGGUUGUAAACCGCUUUCGCCUGUGACGAAGCGUGAGUGACGGUAAUGGGUAAAGAAGCACCGGCUAACUACGUG
rnacentral:rRNA from 1 species